AUUGAACGCUGGCGGCAGGCCUAACACAUGCAAGUCGAGCGGAUGAAGGGAGCUUGCUCCUGGAUUCAGCGGCGGACGGGUGAGUAAUGCCUAGGAAUCUGCCUGGUAGUGGGGGAUAACGUCCGGAAACGGGCGCUAAUACCGCAUACGUCCUGAGGGAGCAAGUGGGGGAUCUUCGGACCUCACGCUAUCAGAUGAGCCUAGGUCGGAUUAGCUAGUUGGUGGGGUAAAGGCCUACCAAGGCGACGAUCCGUAACUGGUCUGAGAGGAUGAUCAGUCACACUGGAACUGAGACACGGUCCAGACUCCUACGGGAGGCAGCAGAGGGGAAUGUUGGACAAUGGGCGAAAGCCUGAUCCAGCCAUGCCGCGUGUGUGAAGAAGGUCUUCGGAUUGUAAAGCACUUUAAGUUGGGAGGAAGGGCAGUAAGUUAAUACCUUGCUGUUUUGACGUUACCAACAGAAUAAGCACCGGCUAACUUCGUG
rnacentral:rRNA from 1 species